CUCCCUUAAUCAUUGGACGCGUGGUCAGCCAUUUUCGAAAGAACUUAGGCGUCCUUCUUGUGUGGCUCUCGUUUUCGAGAAAAGUUACUUGCUUUACAAAUGAUGAACCGAAGUAAUAACAACAGUAGGCGAAUUUACGUCGGAAAUUUACCAUCUAAUGUAGAUGAGAGAGAUCUGGAGGAUAUCUUUUACAAAUACGGCGACAUUUCUGAUGUUGACUUGAAGAUUCCUCGAUACGGAACUGGUGGCACGCCGUUUGCCUUCGUCGAAUUUAGUGAUCCAAGAGAUGCAGAAGAUGCAGUGAGAGGGAGAGACGGAUAUGAAGUUGAUGGACAGAGGAUCCGUGUAGAAUUUCCUCGUGGUGGCCGUGGUGGAGGUCGCUCUGGAGGUGGAGGGUUUGGUGGUGGAGGAGGAGGAGGAGGCUAUGGUGGUGGUGGUGGUGGAGGUGGAGGUGGUCGUGGUCCUCCUCCUAGGCGCUCUGAUUACCGUGUUAUGGUCUCUGGUUUGCCACCGACUGGUAGCUGGCAAGAUCUCAAGGAUCAUAUGCGGGAUGCUGGUGAUGUUCAGUUCACAGAUGUUUUUAAAGAUGGAACUGGCAUUGUGGAGUUUUCUCGGUAUGAUGACAUGAAAUAUGCCUUGAAACAUCUGGAUGAUUCUAAGUUCCGCUCACACGAGGGUGAAGUUGCAUUCAUCAGAGUCAAACCUGACAAUCCAGGACGUGGUUCACGAAGUCGUAGCAGAUCACUUUCAAGGAGCCGAUCCCCAAGAAAAAGAUCCCACUCUCGUUCCCACAGUCCACGUCGGUCUUAUUCACCAAAGAAAUCAAAGUCACCCUCAAGAUCGCCAAAGAAGAGGAAAUCAGUCUCUCCAAGGCGUUCCAGAUCCCGUUCUCGUUCCCGUUCAUAGACAUAAACUGUUUGCUGUGAUGUAUUAUUUGUGUUGUAUUACCACCAAGAAAAGGCUUUCACUUUAAACCCUUAGUUGUAGAAAAAGGACUCUUUUAAUAAUUCUAUAUUGUAUGUGGCUAGUUAGAUCUUUUACUUUUCCAUGGUAUUAUUUUCAGGACAGCACAAGCACUUUCUGAUAUUGGAAAGGAAAGCUAGGAAUGAAACAUGUUUCAACAGUUAUGUUGCUAAAGAAAUCAAACUGGAUAAGGAAACAGUGGAAAUAAAAUGACUCUUGGAACAUUAGGACAUGUUCUUUGGACAUGAUAAAAAGCUGUCGUCCGGAGGAGUCCGGAACAUCUCAUGUCAGUCAGUGAUCACGGAUCAUUAGGAUAGGAACUGGAGGUCAGCUCCAGUACAGUUUUGGGACAGAACACCGGAAACAAUCAGGAAAUCAAACAAUCAGGAGUCAGUUUUUUGGAACUCUUUCAAUCAUCUGGAUAAGGAUUUGGAUCUUAACUCAUUUGGUAGUUGCCAACAAUUUUGGAGGAAAAUCACAGUUUGGAAUGGAGGAAUAGCAAUCACUAUCUUUCAUACAAAAUGGUCUUAUACAGUAUUCUUCUUUGGAGGGUAACCUAAAUCUGGUAUGAAUUUUAAACAUUCAGUUUUGUUUGAAAGACCUCAAAUUUAGCGGAGUGAAAGCUGAUCCCCAAAAUUUCCUGAUUCAAAUUUGGACAAAAUCACUAAUUUUUUAAGUUUUCAAUGAAGUUUUUUUGUUUUUCCCCAACCUUUCUGUCAUAGUUAUCUUGCUUGUUUUGUUUUUUACUACUGACUUUCUUGCUUCAGGUGCUGGGUAUGCUAUGCAUUUGUUUCUAGCAUAGAAAUACAAGGGAUUUUAGCAGACACAGCAAAAGUGCUUUUACAUUUAUCAUUUAGUUUUCCAUGCAAAGUGACAGCACAUUGUGCUCUUCACUGAAAUAAAUUUCUUUCUGACUGAA
rnacentral:misc_RNA from 1 species